rnacentral:piRNA from 1 species
UCUUAGUCCGAAAUCUAUUUU